rnacentral:rRNA from 1 species
ACACUCCUACGGGAGGCAGCAGUGGGGAAUUUUGGACAAUGGGCGAAAGCCUGAUCCAGCAAUGCCGCGUGAGUGAAGAAGGCCUUCGGGUUGUAAAGCUCUUUUGUCAGGGAAGAAACGGUGAAAGCUAAUAUCUUUUGCUAAUGACGGUACCUGAAGAAUAAGCACCGGCUAACUACGUGCCAGCAGCCGCGGUAAUACGUAGGGUGCAAGCGUUAAUCGGAAUUACUGGGCGUAAAGCGUGCGCAGGCGGUUUUGUAAGUCUGAUGUGAAAUCCCCGGGCUCAACCUGGGAAUUGUAUUGGAGACUGCAAGGCUAGAAUCUGGCAGAGGGGGUAGAAUUCCACGUGUAGCAGUGAAAUGCGUAGAUAUGUGGAGGAACACCGAUGGCGAAGGCAGCCCCCUGGGUCAAGAUUGACGCUCAUGCACGAAAGCGUGGGGAGCAAACAGGAUUAGAUACCCCUGUAGUCCCAU